GAUGUUGUUCCAUAGGUCCAGUUUUUACUGUUCUCCAAUAGAAUUAUGACACGUGUACUAUUUUUUUAAAUCAAUAAACGCUGUUAAUUUACAUCUGUUUUCAACUGGUUUCCGUUUUUCCAUCUAUCAAUUAAACUUCCGUCAACCAUCGCGUCCUCCAUCAUCAGCCAACCACCAAAACACCACCCCUAAGAUCUGACGGUGACAAAACCCCUAUGUUACAGAUCUAUAAUAUAUAACUAUCAGAUUUGAAGCUAUGAGAUUCAUGGUGUGAAUGAUGUUGGGAUUUCUUUUGUUUUGAAUAUAUAUAAUAUAUCAAGUUGGGAUUGCUCUUGUUGAAUGUUGCAGAUGAUGGGCUCAAGAAGAAGACAAGGGUGAUUCCUUACUACUGAAAAGAUGAUGGUGAAUUGGUGAUGCUGUUGUUCUGG
rnacentral:lncRNA from 1 species